rnacentral:precursor_RNA from 10 species
UAAGUUAAUGCAAUCUUUGGUGGGCCUUUUUGAAAGACAUGGGUAGUGAGAUGUUCUGUUACUGAAUACCAUCUUACUACCUUGUCCUUCCAGAAGUUCUGCUCAACUGUGUCUUAUGAGAAU